rnacentral:rRNA from 1 species
AAAUUGAAGAGUUUGAUCAUGGCUCAGAUUGAACGCUGGCGGCAGGCCUAACACAUGCAAGUCGAACGGUAACAGGAAGCAGCUUGCUGCUUCGCUGACGAGUGGCGGACGGGUGAGUAAUGUCUGGGAAACUGCCUGAUGGAGGGGGAUAACUACUGGAAACGGUAGCUAAUACCGCAUAACGUCGCAAGACCAAAGAGGGGGACCUUCGGGCCUCUUGCCAUCGGAUGUGCCCAGAUGGGAUUAGCUUGUUGGUGGGGUAACGGCUCACCAAGGCGACGAUCCCUAGCUGGUCUGAGAGGAUGACCAGCCACACUGGAACUGAGACACGGUCCAGACUCCUACGGGAGGCAGCAGUGGGGAAUAUUGCACAAUGGGCGCAAGCCUGAUGCAGCCAUGCCGCGUGUAUGAAGAAGGCCUUCGGGUUGUAAAGUACUUUCAGCGGGGAGGAAGGGAGUAAAGUUAAUACCUUUGCUCAUUGACGUUACCCGCAGAAGAAGCACCGGCUAACUCCGUGCCAGCAGCCGCGGUAAUACGGAGGGUGCAAGCGUUAAUCGGAAUUACUGGGCGUAAAGCGCACGCAGGCGGUUUGUUAAGUCAGAUGUGAAAUCCCCGGGCUCAACCUGGGAACUGCAUCUGAUACUGGCAAGCUUGAGUCUCGUAGAGGGGGGUAGAAUUCCAGGUGUAGCGGUGAAAUGCGUAGAGAUCUGGAGGAAUACCGGUGGCGAAGGCGGCCCCCUGGACGAAGACUGACGCUCAGGUGCGAAAGCGUGGGGAGCAAACAGGAUUAGAUACCCUGGUAGUCCACGCCGUAAACGAUGUCGACUUGGAGGUUGUGCCCUUGAGGCGUGGCUUCCGGAGCUAACGCGUUAAGUCGACCGCCUGGGGAGUACGACCGCAAGGUUAAAACUCAAAUGAAUUGACGGGGGCCCGCACAAGCGGUGGAGCAUGUGGUUUAAUUCGAUGCAACGCGAAGAACCUUACCUGGUCUUGACAUCCACAGAACUUUCCAGAGAUGGAUUGGUGCCUUCGGGAACUGUGAGACAGGUGCUGCAUGGCUGUCGUCAGCUCGUGUUGUGAAAUGUUGGGUUAAGUCCCGCAACGAGCGCAACCCUUAUCCUUUGUUGCCAGCGGUCCGGCCGGGAACUCAAAGGAGACUGCCAGUGAUAAACUGGAGGAAGGUGGGGAUGACGUCAAGUCAUCAUGGCCCUUACGACCAGGGCUACACACGUGCUACAAUGGCGCAUACAAAGAGAAGCGACCUCGCGAGAGCAAGCGGACCUCAUAAAGUGCGUCGUAGUCCGGAUUGGGAGUCUGCAACUCGACUCCAUGAAGUCGGAAUCGCUAGUAAUCGUGGAUCAGAAUGCCACGGUGAAUACGUUCCCGGGCCUUGUACACACCGCCCGUCACACCAUGGGAGUGGGUUGCAAAAGAAGUAGGUAGCUUAACCUUCGGGAGGGCGCUUACCACUUUGUGAUUCAUGACUGGGGUGAAGUCGUAACAAGGUAACCGUAGGGGAACCUGCGGUUGGAUCACCUCCUUACCUUAAAGAAGC